GAAAAAAGAGAGAGCGAUAGAGAAGAAGAGAAGAGAGCAAGGGAGAGAGAGGGGGAUUUCUUCCAUUGAUUUAUACCCUUCAUUCGCCAAACCCUGUCCCUGAAUGCACUGGGGCUUCAGGAAGCCAACCAAGGUUCCAGCUCUGAGUUGACAGUGUUUCCCGUUAUCCAUUUCACAGAAAACUCCUGGAAGGCGAAGAGUGUCGGAUUGGCUUUGGACCCAGUCCCUUCUCUCUUACUGAGGGACUCCCAAAAAUUCCCUCCAUGUCCACUCACAUAAAAGUCAAAAGCGAAGAGAAGAUAAAAGUAGUAGAAAAAUCGGAGAAGGAAACCGUCAUUGUAGAGGAACAGACAGAAGAGAUCCAGGUGACAGAAGAAGUGACAGAAGAGGAGGACAAAGAGGCCCAAGGGGAGGAAGAAGAAGAGGCAGAAGAGGGAGGAGAAGAAGCAGCAACUACGUCUCCCCCUGCAGAAGAGGCUGCAUCUCCAGAAAAGGAAACCAAGUCUCCUGUGAAAGAAGAGGCCAAGUCCCCAGCUGAGGCCAAGUCCCCAGCUGAGGCCAAGUCACCAGCUGAGGCCAAGUCCCCAGCUGAGGUCAAAUCUCCAGCUGUGGCCAAGUCCCCAGCUGAAGUCAAAUCUCCAGCUGAGGUCAAAUCUCCAGCUGAGGCCAAGUCACCAGCUGAGGCCAAGUCACCAGCUGAGGUCAAAUCUCCAGCUACAGUGAAGUCUCCAGGUGAGGCCAAGUCCCCAGCUGAGGCCAAGUCACCAGCUGAGGUCAAAUCUCCAGUGGAGGCCAAGUCACCAGCUGAGGCCAAGUCUCCAGCUUCAGUGAAGUCCCCAGGUGAGGCCAAGUCACCAGCUGAGGCCAAGUCACCAGCUGAGGUCAAAUCUCCAGCUACAGUGAAGUCCCCAGUUGAGGCCAAGUCACCAGCUGAGGUCAAAUCUCCAGUUACAGUGAAGUCCCCAGCUGAGGCCAAGUCACCAGUUGAGGUCAAAUCUCCAGCUUCGGUGAAGUCCCCAAGUGAAGCCAAGUCACCAGCUGGAGCCAAGUCACCAGCUGAGGCCAAGUCACCAGUUGUGGCCAAAUCACCAGCUGAGGCCAAGUCACCAGCUGAGGCCAAGCCUCCAGCUGAGGCCAAGUCACCAGCUGAGGCCAAGUCUCCAGCUGAGGCCAAGUCUCCAGCUGAGGCCAAGUCACCAGCUGAGGCCAAGUCACCUGUUGAGGUAAAAUCUCCAGAGAAGGCCAAGAGCCCCGUGAAGGAAGGUGCAAAAUCCCUAGCUGAGGCCAAGUCCCCUGAGAAGGCCAAGUCCCCUGUGAAGGAAGAGAUCAAGCCUCCAGCUGAGGUGAAAUCCCCCGAGAAGGCCAAGAGCCCCAUGAAGGAGGAGGCCAAGUCUCCUGAGAAGGCCAAGACUCUGGAUGUGAAGUCUCCAGAAGCCAAGACUCCAGCGAAGGAGGAAGCAAAGCGCCCCGCAGACAUCAGAUCCCCUGAGCAGGUCAAAAGUCCUGCCAAGGAGGAGGCCAAGUCCCCCGAGAAGGAAGAGACCAGGACUGAAAAGGUGGCUCCCAAGAAGGAAGAGGUGAAGUCCCCUGUGGAGGAGGUAAAAGCCAAAGAACCCCCAAAGAAGGUGGAGGAGGAGAAGACACCAGCCACACCAAAGACAGAGGUGAAGGAGAGCAAGAAAGAUGAAGCUCCCAAGGAGGCCCAGAAGCCCAAGGCGGAGGAGAAGGAGCCUCUCACAGAAAAGCCCAAGGACUCUCCGGGGGAAGCCAAGAAGGAAGAGGCUAAAGAGAAGAAGGCGGCGGCCCCAGAGGAGGAGACGCCCGCCAAGUUGGGCGUGAAGGAAGAGGCUAAACCCAAAGAGAAGGCAGAAGACGCCAAGGCCAAAGAACCUAGCAAACCCUCAGAGAAGGAGAAACCGAAGAAGGAGGAGGUGCCGGCAGCACCAGAGAAGAAAGACACCAAGGAGGAGAAGACUACGGAGUCCAAGAAGCCUGAGGAGAAACCCAAAAUGGAGGCCAAGGCCAAGGAGGAGGACAAGGGCCUUCCCCAAGAGCCUAGCAAACCCAAGACAGAAAAGGCUGAAAAGUCCUCUAGCACAGACCAAAAAGACAGCCAGCCCUCAGAGAAGGCCCCAGAGGACAAGGCUGCCAAGGGAGACAAGUAAGAGGACGAGAGGGACACCCAGAAUAGCCAAAGAAACUCAGGACGGCCCCGGUACUCAAGGGUUGGUGUAAUAAAGUUUAUUUCUUCCUUUCCCUCCGUAAGAAGAAACACCACUUAGAUGGCGGGCCCGCCCUCACCAAACAGGAAUUUCUAUUAGGAUUAAGUUAGCAAGAGAAGAUAACCCUGAGCCCUGCCUCCCCAACACCGAAAGCCCUCCCCAGGUGAUGGACAAUUAUGAUAGCUUAUCGUAGCCGAACGUGAUGUAUUGCUGAACGCUCCACGUAAAACGCGUGACUAAAAACUGCCCCCCCUCCUUUCCAAGUAAGUGCAUUCACUUCCCGUAUGUCCUACCGACAGGUGACCGCAGUAAUGAAUGAGCAGUUAGAAAUGCAUUAUGCUUGAAAUGUUGUAACCUAUUCCCGAAUGCCUUCUUGUUUUCCAAAGGAGCGGUCAGGCCCUUGCCCGGUACACGCUCCUGGAAGAGCUGCAGCAGGUGAGGCAGGGCGCUGGCCGCUGAACCAGGCCAGGGUGUGCUGUCCACUGAAGUCCACUUUCGAUUGCUUCCGUGCAAUAAAACCAAGUGCUUCUGAAAUACAA
rnacentral:lncRNA from 1 species